AGAGUUUGAUCCUGGCUUAGGAUGAACGCUGGCGGCGUGCUUAACACAUGCAAGUCGAACGAAGCAACUAUCUGCUGCAAGAGAGUUGACUUAGUGGCGGACGGGUGAGUAACGCGUGGGUAACCUGCCUCAUACAGGGGGAUAACAGUUGGAAACGACUGCUAAGACCGCAUAACCCGCUAGUGUCGCAUGACACGGACGGAAAAUAUUUAUAGGUAUGAGAUGGGCCCGCGUCUGAUUAGCUAGUUGGUAAGGUAACGGCUUACCAAGGCGACGAUCAGUAGCCGACUUGAGAGAGUGAUCGGCCACAUUGGGACUGAGACACGGCCCAAACUCCUACGGGAGGCAGCAGUGGGGAAUAUUGGACAAUGGGGGAAACCCUGAUCCAGCCGACGCCGCGUGAGUGAAGAAGUAUUUCGGUAUGUAAAGCUCUAUCAGCAGGGAAGAUAAUGACAGUACCUGACUAAGAAGCCCCGGCUAACUACGUGCCAGCCGCGGC
rnacentral:rRNA from 1 species